rnacentral:siRNA from 1 species
AAGCAGAUGCAAAGAUAGGUGAA